CAGAAGCUGCGAUGUACGUAUUUACUUAAGUUUUAACCUCUAAUUAUGGAAUAGGGAGUUUUAAAUCGGAGUCCUAAUGCCGCGCCGUUUUGCAAUACGGAAGGCAGGAAGACUUCUGCGAACACCCACUUGGCGAAGUGGUGGUUUAAAACUUUUUAUGAAUAAUACGGCACUUGUGGCUGUAAA
rnacentral:other from 1 species